CCGGCCUCCGCGCGCCCGGCGGAGGCGGUCACGUGAUGUUUGGGUGCCCGUCCCCGCCACCGCCCCCUCCCCGCCGCGAUCGCACGGAUCCCCGAGCCACCCAGUCCCAGCUCCUGAGGAGGCUGCCUGCUGAAAGAAGAUGUCCUAUGGAUCCAUUGCCGGCGGUGGGGGCCUGGGGAGCCGUGGCCCAUUUGGGGGUCCCUCGAGACAAGGGUAUCAGCCCCUAGAGUGCGCUAAGUGUUGGACGGAGUAUGGAAUCCGCCACUUCCCCUGCCCGUCGCCAGAACGUAGCCCACAGGAGGCCCGUGUGGGGAAGGAUGGGGAAGGCCACAUGGGGCCAGCGGUGGGCAUGCCCAGAGGCCUGUGGGCCCGGAAGCGAGGACCAGAGGUCACUCCAGAAGGCAGCUGGGUGCCGGAGCCCACCGAGGUCGCUGGGCCGCUGGGCCACAUGGCAGGGCCCAGCGCUGCCCGGGCCAAGAAGAGGAAGCCCAACUUCUGCCCGCAGGAGACAGAGGUCCUGGUGGCCAAGGUCAGCAAGCACCACCAGCUGCUGUUCGGCACUGGGCUGCUCAAGGCCGAGCCAGCCCGCAAGUACCGUGUGUGGAGCCGCAUCCUGCAGGCUGUGAACGCGCUCGGCUACUGCCACCGCGACGUCGUCGACCUCAAGCACAAGUGGCGGGACCUGAGAGCCGUGGUGCGGCGCAAGCUGGGCGAGUUGCGCAAGGCAGUCCCCGGGCCUGGCAUCAGCGCUGGCAAGCCCCAGGCCCUGACCCUCACCCCCGUGGAGCAGGUGGUGGCCAAGACCUUCUCCAGCCAGGCCCUGACCCCUGAGGGCUUCGGCCUGGAGCUGCCCCGAGCCACCCAGGUGGACCCGAGCGAGCUGCAGGAGCUAUUCCAGGAGACGUCGGCCAAUGUCUUCCGCAUCAACUCCAGUGUGACCUCCUUGGAGCGGAGCCUCCGGUCCCUGGGGACGCCGAGUGACACGCAGGAGCUUCGGGACAGCCUGCACACGGUGCAGCAGGAGACCAAUGCAGCCAUCACGGCCAGCACCAGUGCCAUGAAGCAGCUGUCGGGGCUCCUGCGCGGCUCCUCUCGGCAGGAGCGUCUUCAGCUGGACCGCCUGAAAAAUCAGCUGUCGGAUGCCAUUCAGCGCUAUGGAGUCACGCAGAAGAAAAUUGCGGAGAAGUCCAGAGCGCUGCUUCCCACGGCACAGAGAGGCGGCAGACAGCAGAGCCCCCAGGCCCGUCUUGGCGAGCUGGCCGAUGACGAGAAGAUGUUCAACGGAGGCGGCAGCGACAUUUGGCAAAGCCAGGAGCAGGCGCUGCUUCCCGAGCUCACCGAGGAGGACCUGGAGGCCAUCCGGCUGCGGGAGGAGGCCAUCCUGCAGAUCGAGGGCGACUUGCUGGACGUGAACCAGAUCAUGAAGGAUUUGGCCUCCAUGGUGUCGGAGCAAGGAGAGGCCGUUGGGUCCAGCAGUGGAGGCCAGGCCACCUGCCGGCGGAGCUGCAGCCCUGAGCCGGCCGAGGCAGCCCUGCUGCCAGGUGACGGGCCGGGCUCCACGCCCCUGCAGCCGGGCGCCCACUCUCGCAUCAAGACGCGCAAGCCCAACUUCAGCCCUCAGGAGACGGAGGUGCUGGUACAGAAAGUCACGAGGCAUUACCCACUGCUGUUUGGGGUGCUGCGGGGCCCACCUGCCCGCAAGCACCGUGUAUGGAACCGCAUCCUGCAGGCUGUCAAUGCGCUGGGCUACUGCCACCGUGACCUGGGUGACCUCAAACACAAGUGGCGGGACCUGCGCGGGGUGGUGCGCAAGAAGCUGGCGGAGCAGCCACGUGCCCUGGCCGGGGGCGGCCCCGCCCCCAUCCUCACGCCCAUCGAGCGCAUGGUAGCAGAGACCUUCUCUGCCCUGGCCCCCCCAGGUGAGGGCCAGGGGGCUGAGCCCCUGCCAAGUAAGUGGGCCCUUCCUGUGUGUGUUCCCCCGAGGAGUUGGCCCUGCACACUCCCCUACCCCAUGUAUAGAUGGGGAAACCGAGGCUGAGGGCCAGGGAGGGGCUGCCGUCCUGGUAUUAGAGGAGCUGAGCCUCAACUUCAGCUCCUCCCGCCACCCAGUUCAUGGUCCUGUGGGGUUACCCCAAACCAGGCGCAGUGCAGCCCCAGGCCUCAGGUGACUCUCAUGUCCGUCACAGUCACUGAUGUCGAUAGGCAGCCAGGCUUCUACAACGCACAGGUCCCAGCAGAGAAGCCCCCUCCCCACUGCUGCCCACAGGGUUAGAAGAUACGCCCCCACCCUCCUCACUGCUUGGAAGCCCCUUUGCACAUUCAUCUGUGGGGCUGAGCCAGAGAAGGGGUGUGCCAUGAGAAAGCAGGGAAAGGGUCAAAAAGAGGGUGAGACCCCCUGCCCCCCACACACCCAUGAGAGAGGGGUGAGGUGGGAGCAGUCAAGACUCGGAGCUGGCCAGAGGCCAGGGCUCCUCCCUGGCACUGCGGAACGGCGAUUGACUAACCCACCAUCCUGACUCGGCUGUGGUGGGCAAACCUGCCUUUUCUAGGCUCCAGCUCUCAUGGUGCGCCCCUUCCCCAUCAGAGCCAAUGGCCCACUGCCUUCUCUGGAAGCUUCUGUGCCUGGUGAGGAAGAUGGGCACUUGGCUGGGUCUUUCCUGGCUCUCAGCCGCCUCCUGCUCCUUGUGAUGCCGGCUGCUCCUCACCGCCUCCUCCUCCUCCACACUCCGCCUCCUGCCGCCACACUCCUCUGCCCUCUCCAAGCCCGUGGGACCAAGAGCACCUGCCACGCACCCUCCUCCAGCAGAGCUCCCUCCUGGAGCUACUGAAGGACUCCGGGGAGCAGGACAACCCCCUCCUCUCUGGACUCUCCUGAGGCCCAGUUGACCUGGUGCAGCGGAUCUGGGACAGCAGGACAGCCACCUGGACACGAGCCAGCUGUGGCCUCCAAACGCCGAGAUCAGGCCUGGGUAGAACUGUGGUGGCCACGGGUGCUUGCAGGCGCCUUCAGCUGCACAAUCUCGUGGGGGUGACAGCGACCGGGUGGGGCCGUGGGGCUCCGAAAGACUCCACAAGCCAGAGGCUCAGGGGAGAUGUGGACCUGGAAAGCCCAGGCCUUGGGAGGCUGGGGGCAGAGCAGGGCCGAGCCUGGGGCGUGGGCCUGCGGAAUGAGCCCUGGGGCAGGCCCGGGAGGUGGGCAGAGUUGGAGGAAGACCUGCCUGUGUGGAGGUGGGGCAGGCUGUGACCCAGUCCCCGGGGCCCACCUGACCCCUAAAGGGCAGGUCUCAUGGUCUGUGCAGAGGCUGGCCUGGAGGAGGGUGCGGUGGGGCGCGGCGCAGGGUGGUGAAGGGCUGGCAGUGGGUGGGGCAUGGGGGAACUGGGUGCCAGUAUGUCUGUCGCCCCGGGAAACCAGCAGGAGUUCGAGACCUCGCGCAGGCGACGCUCUGGAGGCCUCUGUGGACGGCCUCACUGACUGGCAGCUUCUGUUGGCGGGAGCUCCUUGUAGGAGUGGCCUGACCACUGACGUCAGGAAGCGGCCUAACCCUGCUGGUGUCAGAGCCCUUGUGGGCGUGGUCUGCCCUGUGUGUUUGUAAAUGAUGGAGAGGGAAGCAUGGGAGGGGCUGGCACCCUGUGGGCAGGCGGCAGUUGGGGUGCAGGCAGGGGUUGCAGGAGACUGGUGGUGUGGGGGACACAUCACAGCUGAAAGGUCCCCCCUGCAUUGGCCUGGGACCUUGGUCUUCAAGCGGAGGUGACCCCUCUGCAUCCUCACGCAGGGCUGGGGGGAGGAGCUGGGGGCCAGGGGUCUCUCUGACCCUGGAGUCCACCCUGCUGAGGACGCCUCUGCAGUCCCCACAGACCCCAGCCCCCAGGAGGACUUCAUCUGUAGAACCAUCUGUGCCUCCCAGGCAGCCAAGACGAGACCCGCGUGGACCAGGACCCGCAGUCUCCGUGCGGUCUGGGCCAUUUGUCCUGUGUCCAUGGGUGGCCUGGCCGCCCAGGGUGGCCUUAGCGCAUCCCCCUUCUGCCUUCCUAUGGAUGACCUGCUACUCAGAGACAGGCGCUGGCGUGUGGCCGGUGCCCGCAGUGGCAGCUGCGGGUGAAUAAGUCAAAUAUGUGGCCCUGUCCUUCCUUCUCAUCCUCGUCCAGGCCCCUGGAGAGGUAGCGACCCUCAGGUAUGCUGUGUAGAGUGCUGGCUGCAGCUGGUGAAGUGGCAGGAGGAGGAGCUGGUUCCGCGGCCCAGGGGAGGCAGGGGCCCUUGCCCACAGCCUCCUCACUUUCCAGGCCCCACGGAGCUUGUCCCCACCCAGCACCUGACUUACACUGGGCAGGAGCCCCCAGAGGGUGCUCCCAGGUGGGGACCAUAACAAGUGGGUUGGGGCAGAGGGUCUGUGGCCGCCAGUGAAAGGGUCAGGGUGAGGCCUGGACCAGUGAACUUGGCAGAGGGACUUCCCAAAGGUAGGGCCCAUGGGCCCUCCCUGCCUAGGGGCUUGCGCAUAUGGGGGCCGUGCAGAUCCAAGCAGGGACUCUCCAAGAUGCAGACGGGCUGGUCAGAGCCACAGAGGGAGGGACCGACCCCCAGGCUGGCUCUAUCCCUGGGCUCCAUACCCUUGGAGCAGAUCAGCGCACCCAGGGAUGAUGAGGCACCAAGAGCAGUGCCCGGAGUGUGACGAGGUUUUCGUUCCAGCCCCCCAGCCACAGGCGAGCGAGGGCUGCGCCCAGGGCUGCACAGCUCUAUAGCAGAGCUGAAGAUUCGGGCUGAGGUCUUUCUGCCUCCAAAAUUCUUACCAGAAUGCCUGUUUUGGAGGCACGCUGUCUGACAGCACCCCUUUCUUUGAAGAACCAGCAGAUUUAAGAUCCGUGCCUGUGACCUGUCGCCAGUGUAAUGGCGGCCUUUGUCCGGGCCUCGUGGGCUUGGUUCAGGCUGCCACAGAAUCACGUGCACCUUAGCUUCCUGGGUGGCUGCCGCCUUCAUCCUGUUGGUAGACGGGAAACUGAAGCACUGAGAGCCGCCUGGUCCCUCACCCCAUAAGGGGACCCCUCAUUUUCAUUACCGCGGUCCAUGUGCCACCCCCACCAGUCGACACACCUGUAGUGGGCCCAGCUGGGCUGAGUGACGCAUCCGUAGUGGGUUGGCUCGUGUUCUAUGGGUGCCUCUUUUUUGCUUCUGUUACGUAUGUGGAAUAUUCUGGUGUCCUGGCACUGCCUCAGGUGCCCAGGAACUGCCGGGCUUGUUGGGGCUCACAUGGGCACGUGGUGCAGCACUGUGGAUACUGUGUUCAUACUCCUUCUGGCUUUUCUUUACCCCACGUUCUAGUUGCCAGUAGCCUGACACCACAUCCGAAUUGCCGAUUGGUCCCCAGAUGCGCUACUCGUUCAGCACAUGCUGACCCCAGGGCCCAGCAGACCCGACUGUGUCCUCACAACAGUCUGUGAGACGCGCAGAGGCGGGUUCCUCCCCUUCACAGGGAUCCAGGCCCAGGGGGCAGAGGGCCGUCCAGAGCUCAGAGCCAGGACCUGCCCGGCCUCCACUCUUCUUGAAAGGCCGUCCCCACCCACCCGCAGCAGGGUGCUGAGAAGGGCCCGUCCCCCUGUCCUGGCAGCACCCGCCGCCGAGCAGUGCCAGGAAGACAAGCCCCUUGGAGAACCCCUGGUGGCCUCAGCCACUUCCUGUGGCCUUUUGAGGAAGCCGCUCAUGACUACCGUGGCUACCAGAGACAGUAUUGAAGCCAGCAUCCAGGCCUCUUCCUCGCACGUGGAGUCGGCCCAGGAGCUCCUGGCAGGAGCCAGCCGGCACCAAGUAAGUCAGUGUGAGGCCAGAGCACCC